UACGUAGGGGGCAAGCGUUGUCCGGAUUCAUUGGGCGUAAAGAGCGUGUAGGCGGCCAGGUAGGUCGGUUGUGAAAACUGGAGGCUCAACCUUCAGAGGUCGACCGAAACCAUCUGGCUAGAGUCCGGGAGAGGAGAGUGGAAUUCCUGGUGUAGCGGUGAAAUGCGCAGAUAUCAGGAGGAACACCGAUGGCGAAGGCAGGUCUCUGGGCUGUAACUGACACUGAGGAGCGGAAAGCAUGGGGAGCGAACAGGG
rnacentral:rRNA from 1 species